GACGAACGCUGGCGGCGUGCUUAACACAUGCAAGUCGAACGGAAAGGCCCUGCUUUUGUGGGGUGCUCGAGUGGCGAACGGGUGAGUAACACGUGAGUAACCUGCCCUUGACUUUGGGAUAACUUCAGGAAACUGGGGCUAAUACCGGAUAGGAGCUCCUGCUGCAUGGUGGGGGUUGGAAAGUUUCGGCGGUUGGGGAUGGACUCGCGGCUUAUCAGCUUGUUGGUGGGGUAGUGGCUUACCAAGGCUUUGACGGGUAGCCGGCCUGAGAGGGUGACCGGCCACAUGGGGACUGAGAGACGGCCCAGACUGCUACAGGAGGCAGCAGUGGAGAAUAUUGCACAGUGGGCGGAAGCCUGAUGCGGCAACGCCGCGUGCGGGAUGACGGCCUUCGGGUUGUAAACCGCUUUCGCCUGUGACGAAGCGUGAGUGACGGUAAUGGGUAAAGAAGCACCGGCUAACUACGUG
rnacentral:rRNA from 1 species